rnacentral:rRNA from 1 species
AUGGCCUCUGCUGACGAACUCAAGAAGCUUGAGGAGGAACUCAAAAAUCGCGAGUCCAUCCUUCGGACACGCGAGGAAGAACUUCAGCGCCAAGCUGAAGAACGGGGGAAGGCCGUCGUCCCUCCUGCAGCCUCCACGUACGCCGCCUCCAUCAAGACGUUCGUCCCCAUCACGCUUGAUCUUCAGGACUCCAACUAUGCCAAGUGGCGUGAGCUGUUCCUCGUCGCUCUCGGCCGCUACGGCCUCUCGGCUCAUGUUCUCUCCGAGACUACCCCAUCGGAUACCUCCCCCGCCUCGGAUUGGGGCCGCGAUGACUUCACCGUCCUCUCAUGGAUAUAUGGCUCGAUUUCUCUUGAGCUUUUCGGCAUCAUCAUGGCACCAGGCUCCACCGCCAAGCAAGUUUGGGAUGCCAUCGCCAAUCUGUUCCGAGACAACAAGAAGAGUCGUGCUCUGGCUCUCGACGCCGAAUUCCGCAACACUGCUCAAGGGGACAUGACGAUCUCCGAAUAUUGUGCCAAGCUCAAGGCCCUCUCUGACGCCCUCACCGAUGUCGGUCAGUCGGUCACCGACGAGACUCUCGUGCUCACCUUGCUUCGCGGGCUGAAUGAACAGUACUGCCAUCUACGUUCGUUCUUGCCGUUCCAAGUGCCUUUUCCAUCCUUUCUCCAGACUCGCUCCACGCUCGUUCUCGAGGAAGCCCAGAAGAAGACGGAUGCCAAGAAUUCCUCUUCCACCGCUCUAUGGGCCAGCGGCAACAGUGUGCUUCCCGGUGCAGGCGGCGAGCGUGCUCCACCACUUAACGAUGGCCGCAACUUCUCUCAUGAUCGCCACAGCCCUGGACCUCUACCUUUUGGUGGUCGUGGGGGCAGCAAUAGUAGUCGCGGACGCGGUCGUGGUGGGCGUGGUCGGCGUGACUCUCCCUGGAUGUACAACCCAUGGACCGGGCAGCCGACGCGUCUUCAUCUCCAACAACAAACGUCGUCACCGCAUCAUCAACCACAAGCGCCGCCGCCUUCUUGGCCGCCUCGCUCCUGGCGUGCUCUUGCUCCUACUCAUGGGGUGCUCGGUCCUCGCCCUACAUCACCUUCUCCACAAGCCUAUACAACAUACGGUCAUGCGGCUCCUUCUGGCUACAACAUGACACUACAAAAAAAAUACACUUCCGUGAUGAUAUGUGUUUGUCACAGUAGGUCGUGUUUUUUGUCAUGCAUGUACAUCCAUGACGAUUUUAUGACAGAAUCAAGAUAG